rnacentral:rRNA from 1 species
GACAUAGGGGGCGAGCGUUGUCCGGAUUUAUUGGGCGUAAAGAGCUCGUAGGCGGCCAUGUAGGUCCGGUGUGAAAACUCGAGGCUUAACCUCGAGAUGUCAUCGGAAACCAUUUGGCUAGAGUCCGGAAGAGGAGAGUGGAAUUCCUGGUGUAGCGGUGAAAUGCGUAGAUAUCUGGAGGAAUACCGGUGGCGAAGGCGGCAUCCUGGACCGGCAUUGACGCUGAGGAGCGAAAGCCAGGGGAGCAAACGGG